ensembl:Mt_tRNA
AAGAAUUUAGCUUAAUUAAAGUGUCCUAUUUGCGUUUGGAUGAUGCAAGGUAAAGACUUGUAGUUCUUA